CAUAUUAUUGAGAAAUCCUCAAUUCCAGCAUAUUAGCACUGAAUAAUGUUUUUAUUCGCAAUCAAAACACUAAAGCUACGCAUUACAGAAAACUGUCUUGUGAUGGUGAUGAGAUUUAAGAUAUUUGACUCUUUCACAACACAUUAUAAUAACAUUAUUUGUACUUUACAAUGUGUUGCAAAUAUUUUAAUUAUUGACUUGCUCAAAUGUGUAAAUAGGCUAAAUAACAGAAAUAUAAGUUGUCUAAUAUAAGCAUAGAUAUAAAGGCAGAUUCCCUAUAUUAGUCCCUGAAGCCAUCAUGGCCUGUAUCUCCACUGGCUGUGAUCGAAAAAAAAUAUAACAUUAAAUUGUAGCUUACAUAGUACUACAGUUAAAAUCUCUGCAAUGCGUUAAAAAGCCAUAAGCUCAUAAUUUUGCAGCAUAAAGCUCAAAAACUUUUGCAGUUUCUUGCAUAAAGGAAACAAACACAAAUGUAAUUGAAUUCACAAGCAUGCAAAAAAUAAGUGAAACAAACAACUUAAAUUGCGGUAAAGACAGCUUUUAUUUCAAAAGCGAAAUCUUAAAACUGCAUUGAUUAUAAUAACUCCACUUUAUUAUGGACUUCACAAAAGCGGAAACACGAAGAUUUGUUUCAGUGCGGAAAAGAUAAAUUUGAACAUGGGUCGAAGAAUUUUCGCCGACAAAUGUUAGGAGCUUACAAUUCAUAAAAUAAAAAGUUUCUGAAGAACAAGUGUGGAUUCAGAAUGCAACUAAUAAGCAUAAUAAGAACACAAUUCUACAAAAUGUAAUGCAUUGAAACAAGGAACACCA